AUGGCUGUCGUCAGCUCGUGUCGUGAGAUGUUGGGUUAAGUCCCGCAACGAGCGCAACCCUUGUCCUAUGUUGCCAGCGGGUAAUGCCGGGGACUCGUAGGAGACUGCCGGGGUCAACUCGGAGGAAGGUGGGGAUGACGUCAAGUCAUCAUGCCCCUUACGUCCAGGGCUGCACACAUGCUACAAUGGCCGGUACAAAGGGCUGCUAUUCCGCGAGGAUGAGCGAAUCCCAAAAAGCCGGUCUCAGUUCGGAUCGCAGUCUGCAACUCGACUGCGUGAAGUCGGAGUCGCUAGUAAUCCCGGAUCAGCAACGCCGGGGUGAAUACGUUCCCGGGCCUUGUACACACCGCCCGUCACACCACGAAAGUCGGCAACACCCGAAGCCGGUGGCCCAACCCGUAAGGGAGGGAGCCGUCGAAGGUGGGGUCGGUGAUUGGGGUGAAGUCGUAACAAGGUAGCCGUACCGGAAGGUGCGGCUGGAUCACCUCCUUUCUAAGGAGUACGCCUCUCACGAGGCACCUGCGACGCUCGAGCCAUCUGGUUCGGGUCGGUCAGGAUCUCCCAGUUGAUGCGCUAGCUACUCGGCCUCGACGGCACCAACACGGUGGUAGAUCUCGGUCUCCCGUGUCGUCUGCCCGAGUGGCCGUUGUCCUCUAUUCCGUUUUGAGGGAGUCACCCUCGACCAGGUCGUGCCCCCCCAUGGGGGCCGACCUCUUCGCGUCCCUUGAGAAUUGCAUAGCGAGCACGAGCAUCUUUGUUCUUCCAAGCUACAAAGAGCCAACGGUGGAUGCCUUGGCGUCUACUACCGAUGAAGGACGUGGGUGGCUGCGAAAAGCCACGGGGAGGCGCCUACCAGCCUUUGAUCCGUGGAUAUCCGAAUGGGGAAACCCGG
rnacentral:sRNA from 1 species